CCGGGGCGCAUCGCGGUGCAGGACGACCUGGACAACACAGAGCUGCCCUUCUUCACCCUGGAGAUGUCGGGCACGGCGGCGGACAUCUCGCUGGUGCACUGGCGGCAGCAGUGGCUGGAGAAUGGCACCUUGUACUUCCACGUCUCCAUGAGCAGCUCUGGACAGCUGGCCCGGGCCACCGCCCCCACCCUCCAGGAGCCCUCAGAGAUCGUAGAGGAGCAGAUGCACAUUCUCCACAUUUCUGUGAUGGGUGGCCUCAUCGCGCUGCUGCUGCUGCUGCUGGUGUUCACGGUGGCGCUCUACGCCCAGCGGCGCUGGCAGAAGCGUCGCCGCAUCCCCCAGAAGAGCGCUAGCACGGAAGCCACUCACGAGAUCCACUACAUCCCCUCCGUGCUGCUGGGCCCCCAGGCCCGGGAAACCUUCCGCUCCUCCCGGCUGCAGGCCCACAAUUCCGUCAUCGGCGUGCCCAUCCGGGAGACCCCCAUCCUGGACGACUAUGACUACGAGGAGGAGGAGGACCUGCCCCGGCGGGCCAACCAUGUCUCCCGUGAGGACGAGUUUGGCAGCCAGGUGACCCACACCCUGGACAGCCUGGGCCGACCAGGGGAAGAGAAAGGGGACUUUGAGAAGAAAGCGGCAGCCGAGGUGACGCAGGAGCCAGUGGAGUCCCUGAUGCAGAAGUUCAAGGAGAGUUUCCGCGCCAACACGCCCAUCGAGAUCGGUCAGCUGCAGCCAGCACUGCGCAGCGCCUCGGCAGGGAGGAGGAAGAGAAGAAGCAGGUCCCGAGGAUGGGGAGACUGGCCGAGUGGCAGAUUUGGGAAGGCUCAUCAAGAAUUCUGGGGCAUCAGCUUUGGGAGGACCAAGGGGACGUCGGGUUCAGAGGCAGAUGACGAAACGCAGCUGACGUUCUACACGGAGCAGUACCGCAGCCGUCGCCGCAGCAAAGGUUUGCUGAAAAGUCCAGUGAACAAGACGGCCCUGACACUGAUUGCUGUGAGCUCCUGCAUCCUGGCCAUGGUGUGUGGCAGUCAGAUGUCCUGUCCACUCACUGUGAAGGUGACUCUGCAUGUGCCGGAGCACUUCAUUGCAGACGGGAGCAGCUUUGUGGUGAGUGAAGGGAGCUACCUGGACAUCUCCGACUGGUUAAACCCAGCCAAGCUGUCCCUGUAUUACCAGAUCAACGCCACCUCCCCGUGGGUGAGGGACCUCUGCGGACAGAGGACGACAGACGCCUGUGAGCAGCUCUGCGACCCAGAAACCGGAGAGUGCAGCUGUCAUGAAGGCUACGCCCCAGACCCAGUUCACAGACACCUGUGUGUGCGCAGUGACUGGGGACAGAGUGAAGGACCCUGGCCUUACACGACACUCGAGAGGGGCUACGAUCUGGUGACAGGGGAGCAAGCCCCUGAAAAGAUUCUCAGGUCUACUUUCAGCUUGGGCCAAGGACUCUGGCUUCCUGUCAGCAAAAGCUUUGUGGUUCCGCCCGUGGAGCUGUCCAUCAACCCCCUGGCCAGCUGCAAGACCGACGUGCUCGUCACGGAAGACCCUGCAGAUGUCAGGGAAGAAGCGAUGCUGUCCACAUACUUUGAAACCAUCAAUGACCUGCUGUCCUCCUUUGGGCCAGUCCGUGACUGCUCUCGAAACAACGGGGGCUGCACUCGAAACUUCAAGUGUGUGUCUGACCGCCAGGUGGACUCCUCGGGAUGUGUGUGCCCGGAGGAGCUGAGGCCCAUGAAGGACGGCUCCGGCUGCUAUGACCACUCCAAAGGCAUCGACUGCUCUGAUGGCUUCAACGGUGGCUGUGAGCAGCUAUGCCUGCAGCAGACACUGCCUUUGCCCUACGACACCACCUCCAGCACCAUCUUCAUGUUCUGCGGCUGUGUGGAGGAGUACAAGCUGGCUCCCGAUGGAAAAUCCUGCCUCAUGCUCUCAGAUGUUUGCGAGGGCCCCAAGUGCCUCAAACCGGACUCCAAAUUCAACGACACCCUCUUUGGAGAGAUGCUGCAUGGUUACAACAACCGGACCCAGCGUGUGAACCAAGGCCAAGUCUUCCAGAUGACUUUUAGGGAGAACAACUUCAUCAAGGACUUCCCUCAGCUGGCCGACGGGCUGUUGGUGAUCCCGCUGCCGGUGGAGGAGCAGUGCAGGGGGGUCCUCUCCGAGCCCCUCCCGGACCUCCAGCGGCUCACUGGCGACAUCAGGUAUGACGAGGCCAUGGGUUACCCCAUGGUGCAGCAGUGGCGGGUCCGCAGCAACCUGUACCGCGUGAAGCUCAGCACCAUCACCCUCUCAGCAGGCUUCACCAACGUCCUCAAGAUCCUGACCAAGGAGAGCAGUCGGGAGGAGCUGCUGUCCUUCAUCCAGCACUACGGCUCCCACUACAUCGCAGAGGCCCUCUAUGGCUCCGAGCUCACCUGCAUCAUCCACUUUCCCAGCAAGAAGGUCCAGCAGCAGCUGUGGCUCCAGUACCAGAAAGAGACCACGGAGUUGGGCAGCAAGAAGGAGCUCAAGUCCAUGCCCUUCAUCACCUACCUCUCAGGUCUGCUGACGGCCCAGAUGCUGUCAGAUGACCAGCUCAUCUCGGGUGUGGAGAUCCGCUGUGAAGAGAAAGGCCGCUGUCCAUCAACCUGCCACCUUUGCCGCCGACCGGGCAAAGAGCAGUUGAGCCCCACCCCGGUACUGCUGGAGAUCAGCCGUGUGGCACCACUUUACAGCCUCAUCCAGGACAAUGGCACCAAGGAGGCCUUCAAGAGUGCACUGAUGAGCUCCUACUGGUGCUCAGGGAAAGGGGACGUGAUCGAUGACUGGUGCAGGUGUGACCUCAGUGCCUUUGAUGCCAGUGGGCUCCCCAACUGCAGCCCUCUCCCGCAGCCGGUGCUGCGGCUCUCCCCAACCGUAGAGCCCUCCAGCACCGUGGUCUCCUUGGAGUGGGUAGAUGUUCAGCCAGCUAUUGGGACCAAGGUCUCUGACUAUAUUCUGCAGCACAAGAAGGUGGAUGAAUACACAGAUACAGACCUCUACACGGGAGAAUUCCUGAGUUUUGCUGAUGACUUACUCUCUGGCCUGGGCACAUCUUGUGUAGCAGCUGGUCGAAGCCAUGGAGAGGUCCCUGAAGUCAGUAUCUACUCCGUCAUCUUCAAGUGUCUGGAGCCCGACGGUCUCUACAAGUUCACCCUCUAUGCUGUGGACACACGAGGGAGGCACUCAGAGCUCAGCACUGUGACCCUGCGGACCGCCUGCCCGCUGGUGGAUGACAACAAAGCAGAAGAGAUCGCCGACAAGAUCUACAAUCUGUACAAUGGGUACACAAGUGGCAAGGAACAGCAGACUGCCUACAAUACGCUGAUGGAAGUCUCAGCCUCCAUGCUGUUUCGAGUCCAGCACCACUACAACUCUCACUAUGAGAAGUUCGGCGACUUCGUCUGGAGGAGUGAGGAUGAGCUGGGGCCCAGGAAGGCCCACCUGAUCCUGAGGCGCCUGGAGAGGGUGAGCAGCCACUGUUCCAGCCUCCUGCGCAGUGCCUACAUCCAGAGCCGUGUGGACACUGUGCCCUACCUUUUCUGCCGCAGCGAGGAGGUCCGGCCUGCCGGUAUGGUGUGGUACAGCAUCCUCAAGGACACCAAAAUCACAUGCGAGGAGAAGAUGGUGUCCAUGGCCCGAAACACUCCCAAGGCAGGAGCUUUCAGGCGGAGACCAAGCGGCCUUUCCUCUUCUUCUUCCUCCGGCCGCACUCAGCUUCCUUCCUGCCAUGGACCCCAGGAGGAGACCUACGGAGAGACAGUUGGACCUCUUCAGCAUCAGGAUGGAGGCCCCGAGGAUUGUUGCAGUGAGGAAGCUUGGGUCUUUAGGACCUUUUAUUUUUCAGACGUGUUUGAAUUUGCAGGACCCCUGCCUCUUCCUGCUGCCUGUGGGUCUGCCCAGAGUCCCUGCAGGACUUUCCAUGCAUUAAAAAUUCCUAUUGUCUCUCUUUCUGCUUGGGUGGUGUUUCUUACAAAUGGGGGGGCCUCUGUUUAUUCAGUCAACAAAUAGUGAUUAUCUACUAUAUAGUAGGCACUGGGCAUGCAGCUAAAGACAGAGAUGCUCCCUGUUCUCAGGGAGUAUACAGCCCAGUGGAAAUGGUAGAGAAACCACCAGUUAUUUCAGGCUGUGGUAGGGGAAGGUUGGAGGUUCCUGGGGCUCAUUGCUGGGUCAUGAGACAAACUGGAGGGGUUCUGAGAUGCAUUCUUGAAAAAGCGAUGCCUAGGCCCAAAAGAUGGGGGUGGGGUGGGGUUUGCUCCAGGCAAGUGGGACACCGUGAACAGAAGUCCAGAGAUAAGAGAAAAGAAAACCCCUUCAAGAGCUGAAAGCACUUCCAUUGAGAACGGAGAUCAAAGUAGGAAGAAGCCGUAGGUGAGGCUGGGAGCUAGGCAUAGCGUUGGAAGUCUCGGGGAAAAAGUUUGAUGGUAUUUGAAGUAACUGAGAGUCACUGCAGAACAUUAACACAGGAGUCGACUUGUUCUUUAAGAAAAACCAUCCCAGAUCCAGAGCGUAGGUUGGACUGGAGAAAGCUUCGAAGAAGAGAGUGACUUCUGUCAUUUUCCAGAAGUGAUGGCAGUUUGGACCCUGAGUUCUGGAGGCUGGAAAGUCCAAGAUCAAGGCAUCAGCAGAUUUGGUGUCUGGGGAGAGCUGAAACUCAGCCCCGUGCAGGAGAGAGAGAGAACUGGGUUCAAAUCUGGGCCUCGGCACUUGCAGCCAGUGAACGCAAGUCAGUGCCGUAAGUACUCGGAGCCCAGGCUGUGCCAUGGGGCCGAAAGCUCCCCGUCGGGGUGGACACGGGGAUGAGUGGAUGGUAGUGAGGACAAGAGGCAGGUUCACUGAGGGGCGUCCCGUCUCACCACCUACCAUCUCUACAAAGCAGUCUGCUGCGGGGAGCGCUGGCUGUGCACGAGAGAGCAGUGGAGUUGAUGGAGAAGUCAGAUUGGGACAUUUAAAUUCUAGGAAUAUGACUAUUUUGAGAUACCUUUUUUCUCCAGAAGUCUGACUCCUAGGAGUUUCGACUCUGGAGAAAGCUCCGAACGCUGCUGAACCACUCAUAACUAGAGCAGGCCGCCCGCACCGUGAGGGGGCGCCCGGGGCCUCACACGCAUGGGUCACCCACGGUUCUCAGGGCGCCCUCCCCAGGAAAGUGUCUGCCCAGCCUUCAGGUCUCGGGCUUAACCAUCUCUUCCUCGAAGCAGCUUUUCUCUUACCGUCACACUGCUCCCUUUUCCUCCACCGUCCCUUCUGCCAAGGACAUUAACGCACGGCUGUGUAGCUCACUGCUCACUGGCCCCCCUGACAGACUGCGCGCUGCACGCGGGCAGGAGCCGUGACCGUCUGGACUCCUCCCGGGCCAGCGCUCAGCCCACAGACCCGCUCCAAGAUCAGCGUCUCCUUGCACAGGGCGGCGUGGCCAUCUGCCUUCUGCAGCCUCAGCCGACAGGAAGAAGCAACAGUUUAAAGUGGAAGAAGGGACUCUUUUAACUCAAAAAGCCAAAAUUACAUGUAUAAUGCGAGUGGAAAAGAAAAGCGGGGUAAAAAAAAGACUCGUAUUCAGAACUAGCAGAGAACCGACUCUGGGUCUUACCAGCAAAGAGCCCACUCACCUCAGGGCCCUGGGGUCUGAAACUGCUGCAGCCCAGCAGAGAACAGAGUCCAAACGGCCAUUUGAGAUCUAUAUUCAAGCAACUAUAAUAAUUUGGAAUCUGUACCUGAACCUGAAUCAUGACUUCAUGUCCCCACCAUGCACUCUGUAGAAAUAACAAUCCAUUUAAGGAAGUUUCCCAAUAAAAUUAAAUUAGUUUUUUUACGUUUUAGUACUUAAGUUAUAGUUGGUAGGAAAAUUCUUUUCAUCGGAGCUGCUCUUUUUCCAACUGAUGGCGUCACAAUUCUACACAAACCUCUAUUUAAAACACAAACGUCAGUGUCCAUUCACUGUCAUGAGCGACUUGAGUCCAAUGGAGUGAAAGAGAGACACUGUAUUCAUUUGGCCACAGGUAUCAGGAGCCUAAAAAAAAAAAUGCUCACACCUUUUCUCCUACUCAUUUCAAGUCUAAGAACCAGUUGUGAAUGAGUAACUAGAGCUAUGAAACUAUUUCUGUGUAAAGAUACUCAUUAUCAUAGUGAGAGAACGAAAUAAUCUAAAAGUUAAAAUCAAAAGUUGAAGAGAAAUGGUUACAUAAAUUAUUGUACAUCACAACCCAUACAGGAAAUGAAAUAAAAAUACAACCAAGAAGUUCGUUUAUACUAAUGUCAGAUAGUUCAUAAAUAUAAAAGAUUUCCUGCACUAGGUAGACGCAGUAACAUAGGCAGAGGCACAAAUACCAACAUAUUUUAUCCACACCAAAAAACACACCAAAAGAAAAGCAGUGGCCGUCUCUGGGUUAUAAGUUAAUCAGUGAAUUCUCUUAUACUGUCUGGAUUUCCCCAAAAGGUAGACU